AUUUUAAGAGGACCGUGGAUCUACUGAGCAAUUUCAGCCGCUCGGUGGAAGAUCUUCUCUAUAUAGU
rnacentral:pre_miRNA from 1 species